rnacentral:lncRNA from 1 species
AAUCAAACCCAGUGUGUGUGUGUGUGUGUAGCUGUGAUGGAGACCAAACUGAGUCUGUUCUUCUUCUGUGUCGUGAUAAUCUCAUCUACUGCUGAACCAGUGGAGAACAUCAGAGUUCUUGUAGGAGGAAACAUCACUCUGAGAGAACCUGUGAAUGAGGAAGGUAUCUUAACUCAUAAAGGAGAGCUCAUCGCUCAGGUGUUUAAUGGAAAAAUGAAGAUACGAAAAGAACGUUUCAACAAAAAACUGAUGUGGGACAACAGGACACGAUUCUUUACCAUCACAAACAUCCAGAAAAACGAUUCAGGAACUUAUGACAUUGAUAAUGAAAAAUCAGAGAUCAGGAUAUUCAUCCUCUCAGUCUAUGAGCCUCUUCCUCCUCCUUCAGUGAGGAGGUCCAAUGAGGACCCUACUCUCUGCUCUCUGCUGUGCUACGUGGAUGGAGCUCCACCCCUAACCAGCGUUGUGUGGAUGAAAGGCCAGGAGGUGAUGAACCAAAGCAGCAGCUACAGCUCUGUGCUGCUCACCAUCCCAGAGCAGGACCUCACCUCCUCUUUGACCUGUGCAGCUCAAAGUCCAGCAGAGAACAAGACUGUGGAGGUGGAGGUGACCACGUGGUGUGGAGACAACAACAAUAACAACAGCUGCAGACAUGACUGUACCACCAUGUCUGUCAUCAUCAUCAUCAUCAAAGGUGUCCUCAUCCUGUUUGGACAGACUUUGAUCUUCACUGUGUGUUUGUUGGAAAGGAAGCGUGUGUGUAAAUAAUAAUUACAUUCAUUGUCAUUUUAUAAACCAAAAACAUUUAGAAGUUUAAAUGAAUGUAAUAAUAAUCUACCUAGAGUGUGUGUGGAGUCUGUUCGACCUGAAACUUUGUCAAAGGCUUCCAAAGACCACAAGUGUGCACAUCCGUUAUUUUGGAAUAAUUUGGUGUUGCAAAAUGUUCAUUUUAAUUUUAAGAUACUGUAACAGCUCCCUCUCUGUAAUGAGCGUGGUACUUCCUGUUCCUGGUCACGGGACCAUGACGUCACUGUGUCGCUGUUUGUUUGGGUUUAAAAAAGAAGGUCAACAUUAAAAACUAUUUUGUACUGCUAAAAGUUAUUUAAGUUCAUAUUUCAUGGUUAUUUAAAAUUAUCCCCGUGAUCCCAAACUUCCUUUAAGUCGUGGGUCACGGACUUCACUUCCUCCUCCGUCUCCAUCGCUGUGCCAUGCUAUCGUUAGCGUCUCAAACACAGAGCUCUCUGAAUAGAUCAAUUGGUGUAUUGACUGCUUCAUAUGAUAUUCAUUUAAUACAAUAUACUUUUGACCUAAAUUUGAGUGUUGGCCUUUGUUUUGCUGGAACACAUGUUUUCUCAGUUAAACCUACCUAUAGAGUGUUAUGUAUGUCAUAAAAAGUGUCUGACUCCGGCUCCAGUUCUUUGACAAAUAGCAGUUUUACCACCUUUUAGACAACAAACAAUAAACAUUUGUUGCUUCUUCUCUUUGUGUCCA